CGCUUGGGCAAUUAAUAACCGGAGACAGCAGGUGCAAAUAGCUUAAUUUCCUGCCGAGGUCUGAUUGUAAUUUAACUAGUUCUUUUGCCCUUAUUGCGGUAGUAGAUUCCAAGUUAGAACAACAAACUUCGCUUCAUUGUUAACUCCACAUGCAGAAUUUGGAGUCUAUUGCUUUGCUUA
rfam:Richelia intracellularis HH01, WGS project CAIY01000000 data, contig: 00020